rnacentral:rRNA from 6 species
GAGUCUUAAUUGGGCGUUAAGUUGCAGGGUAUAGACCCGAAACCCGGUGAUCUAGCCAUGGGCAGGUUGAAGGUUGGGUAACACUAACUGGAGGACCGAACCGACUAAUGUUGAAAAAUUAGCGGAUGACCUGUGGCUGGGGGUGAAAGGCCAAUCAAACCGGGAGAUAGCUGGUUCUCCCCGAAAGCUAUUUAGGUAGCGCCUCGUGAAUUCAUCUCCGGGGGUAGAGCACUGUUUCGGCUAGGGGGCCAUCCCGGCUUACCAACCCGAUGCAAACUGCGAAUACCGGAGAAUGUUAUCACGGGAGACACACGGCGGGUGCUAACGUCCGUCGUGAAGAGGGAAACAACCCAGACCGCCAGCUAAGGUCCCAAAGUCAUGGUUAAGUGGGAAACGAUGUGGGAAGGCCCAGACAGCCAGGAUGUUGGCUUAGAAGCAGCCAUCAUUUAAAGAAAGCGUAAUAGCUCACUGGUCGAGUCGGCCUGCGCGGAAGAUGUAACGGGGCUAAACCAU